CAGUAGCCACGGUAAUACGAAGGGUGCAAGCGUUACUCGGAAUUACUGGGCGUAAAGCGUGCGUAGGUGGUGGUUUAAGUCCGUUGUGAAAGCCCUGGGCUCAACCUGGGAAUUGCAGUGGAUACUGGAUCACUAGAGUGUGGUAGAGGAUAGUGGAAUUUCCGGUGUAGCAGUGAAAUGCGUAGAGAUCGGAAGGAACAUCUGUGGCGAAGGCGACUAUCUGGGCCAACACUGACACUGAGGCACGAAAGCGUGGGGAGCAAACAGGAUUAGAUACCCCCGUAGUCCCUGUCUCUUAUAC
rnacentral:rRNA from 1 species